CGGCGGACGGGUGAGUAACGCGUAGGAGUCUACCUAGUAGUGGGGGAUAGCCCAGAGAAAUUUGGAUUAAUACCGCAUACGCCCUACGGGGGAAAGGAGGGGAUCUUCGGACCUUUCGCUAUUAGAUGAGCCUGCGUGAGAUUAGCUAGUUGGUGGGGUAAAGGCUCACCAAGGCGACGAUCUCUAGCUGGUCUGAGAGGAUGAUCAGCCACACUGGGACUGAGACACGGCCCAG
rnacentral:rRNA from 1 species